CAGUCGCCGCGGUAAUACGAAGGGGGCUAGCGUUGUUCGGAUUUACUGGGCGUAAAGGGCGCGUAGGCGGACUGAUAAGUCAGGGGUGAAAUCCCAAGGCUCAACCUUGGAACUGCCUUUGAUACUGUUUGUCUUGAGUUCGAGAGAGGUAAGUGGAACUGCGAGUGUAGAGGUGAAAUUCGUAGAUAUUCGCAAGAACACCAGUGGCGAAGGCGGCUUACUGGCUCGAAACUGACGCUGAGGCGCGAAAGCGUGGGGGGCAAACAGGAUUAGAUACCCCUGUAGUCCCUGUCUCUUAUAC
rnacentral:rRNA from 1 species